rnacentral:rRNA from 1 species
GAAAGUUGGGGAGACCUGACGCUGAAAGAUGGACUCGCGUCCCAUUAGCUAGUUGGUAGGGUAAUGGCCUACCAAGGCGACGAUGGGUAGCCGGCCUGAGAGGGUGGCCGGCCACACUGGGACUGAGACACGGCCCAGACUCCUACGGGAGGCAGCAGUGGGGAAUUUUGCGCAAUGCUCGUAAGAGUGACGCAGCGACGCCGCGUGAAUGACGAAGGCCUUCGGGUCGUAAAGUUCUUUCGACAGGGAAGGAAAUGCCUAUAAGUAACUGUGUAUGUAUUGACGGUACCUGUAUAAGCAGCCCCGGCUAACUCCGUGCCAGCAGCCGCGGUAAUACGGAGGGGGCGAGCGUUGUUCGGAGUGACUGGGCGUAAAGAGCACGUAGGCGGUGUUGUAAGUCAUUAGUCAAAGACUAGAGCUCAACUUUAGUAAGGCUAGUGAUACUAUAAUACUAGAGUAUCAGAGAGGAUUGCAGAAUUCCUGGUGUAGCGGUGAAAUGCGUAGAUAUCAGGAGGGAUACCGUUAGCGAAGGCGGCAAUCUGGCUGGAAACUGACGCUGAGGUGCGAAAGCGUGGGUAGCAAACAGGAUUAGAUACCCUGGUAGUCCACGCUGUAAACGAUGGAUGCUAGGUGUUGGGCUUUUAAGUUCA